GACUUCGUGGUGUAGUGGUCAGCACGCUCGACGCGUAACCGAGAGGUCCGUGGUUCGAUUCCCGGCGAAGGCC
rnacentral:tRNA from 1 species